GUAAAAAUAGCCAUAUUUUACAUCCAUGGGAAGCAUUAAGGAUAUUAUCUCUUUGGAGUUCCUUUCAGCCAAGAGUAAGGAGAUAUGAAGAAUUUGGCUGCUGUCCUCUGCUCCUGCACCACCCAGCUACCCAUCAUGGCUAAUAAUGCAACUCAGUGGCUGCUGUAUUUUUCAUGGCCCUUCUGACAGUAUGAGAUUAGUGGGAGCACAGCUGCUUCAGUACCAGGGCAUGUAUCUGUCUUUCCCUGGCAGAUCCCUUGGUGGUGUGUGGCUGUCAUGUUAAAGAGGGAAGGUAAAACUUAUUUACAGGCAGUCUGAGCGGCAUGUUAUUCAAGGCCAGGUUGCUGGCCCAUCUGAUAUUAUUUAAGGGGUUAGAUAUUGCCAGUAAAUGAAAAUAAAUGCUAUUAGUGUCCCUUCUAGUCAGUGGAAUUAGCUGCUCUUCAGCUGAUGUUUGGUUUUACAGCACAAGAUACGCUGGCUCUCAAGGGUCAUGGCUUUUAAAUGCUGGGAAGGCACUAAUCUUGGGAUCAUGGUGAUGCAAACAGAAAUAGGAGGCUAGCAAAACCAGCAGAGGGCUUCCCUUCUGUUGCUUACCCUCAGUCUCUCUGUUAAAUGGACCUGCAGAAAUCAGGGGCAAAGAGACAGAGUGCAGCACUGUUAACUCUAAGGGUUCCUCUUUUACCACAGUAGAGCCUUGGAAGGGCCCUUCUUUCCUCCUCAUCUCAGCCAGUCUCAGAAGGAUUGUCUUUGCUAAAAAGAAAUUACAUUCUGUUGCCUGUCUGUCUUGAGCCAUUUGCUUUUGGCAUUAACUGUCAAGCCCUGAAUCACUCUCUGGGGAUGCGUGCUGGAAAGCUGGUGGGAACUGAUUGCAUAUCAGCAGCUGAGAUGCAAUACUUGGCUUUGCUCUUCUUGGGAAUCACAGUGUGCAGACCUGGACAGCAUCACGCACAUAGCAGCUGAAAUUAGCUAUGGGGUAUUGAACAUUGAAGUGGAAGAGGGAGGUGGAAAACUAGAAGAGCAACUGCUUGAAAAUUGCACCAAAGGCCUCUUCCCAAAGAGAAAUAUGCAGGACUUCUUUGGUUUAAGGUCACUCAUCAGCAAGACCCCCAGCUGGGAUGAAGAAACGAGAGGCCAAGGCUUCUGGCAUCCUGCUGCAAUGUGACGUAAAGAGGAGAUGCCACAAGCAGGAAAUCCUCGUCUCAGAGGAAGGAGCUGGUUUUACUGAGGCAGGUGCCCCUAGGAGCUUGAAGGGCUACUGGAAGCAAGUGAAGGCUGCCCUGCCUCAAGGAGAUGAAGGCUCAUGGUGAAGUGUGAUGUUCUAUGGUCUGGAAGCAGUCGGUAAGAUCUUCACCUCCUCUAUCAGCACUUUGGAGACAUGGCUGAAGGAUUGGACAAUACCUACUAGGGAGGUAACAUCUCCAGUGGAAAAGAGGACAGGGCUUUAAAACACCUACAGCUGGCUUCCACACCCCCCUGACCUGCAUUUCAGGUCGGCACCACCAAGAUGUCUGUGUGCCUUGGCUGAUGAGGAUAACUACACGCAAGGCAAGCUAUCUGAAUCUGACAGCAAAGACCACGUUUCCCCUUAAUGCACCGUGCUGUGGGAAGUGUUUACUGCUGCUGCUCUUACAGCGCAGAAAACCAGAGCAGCUGGGAUGCAGCAAGCUCACAAUGAGGAAAAGCAGAAAGAAGAAUGACCCCGCGCCACUGUUACAAGCAGCUUCCUGAAAGCAGCUUGCGGCCAGGAAAACUGCUGGAUGAAAUCCCUCAGAGGAGGAGAAAGUCCAGGCUCCCCAGAUUUGUUGUCAUUCCUGGGGGAUGUGACCAAGGACAAGUCUUGGAUCGCCUUGCUAGCACCUCUCUCUUGCAGGAAAUGCCCAACUCCAGAUUUCUCACACAGAUAGGAAACAUUUCACCUCAGAGAGAGCAGUGCUGCAGUGGCACAGCUGCCCAGGGAGUGGUGGGGUCACCGUCCCUGGAGGUGUUCCAUACCCAUGGGGAUGUGGCACUGAGGGACGUGGGCAAUGGGCAUGGUGGGGUGGGCUGGAGUUGGGCUGGGUGAUCUUAGAGGACUUUUCCAACCUGAAUGAUUCCGUGAUACCUCCAAAAAAGCAACCUCCUGUGCUGUCCCAGAGGGCUGGGAGUGCUUGGAAGUUUUGGUGCAAAUGCUUGGUGCUCAAUAGCAGCGCACUGCAUGGUGCUGUUGGUAGCGU
ensembl:lncRNA